rnacentral:lncRNA from 1 species
UUUAUUGGAGAGAGAAUGCCCAUACAAGCAGGGGGUGGAGAGGAUAGAGGGAGAGGCAGAUUUCCAGCUGAGCAGGGAGCCCUAUAUAGAGUGACUCCAAUACCGAUCAGAUCAUGCUCUGAGCUGAAGGCUGAUACUUAACCAACUAACUGAACCACCCAGGUGCCCCAACAACCUAUUUUUAUUUGAUAAAUAUAUUGAGGUUUCAAAGAAUUGAUGGCUGAUAAUUUAAUUAGAGUAUAUCCAUAAAAGUACAGGGAGUAUUUAAGUGAUGCAACAUAUUUAAAAAUUUAUUAAACUUCUUAAAAAUGGAAAUUCAAAAUAUGCAAAUUUAUACUUCAAGUUACUUUAAUUUUUAACCAGUUGCUUUUUUGCUUGCCAAAAAAAAAAAAAAAAAAAAAAAAGGAAAGGAAAAAGGAUGUAACAAAUGGUGACAGAUUACCAAGAGAAAAUAUUGUAUUGUAAAAUAUUUAUUAACUUUAUUUUUCAUUUGUUUAAAAAAUAAGUCACUAAACUUAAUUUGACCUAGAAACUAAACAUUAUAAUAGUCCCAACAGCCCUAAUUAGUUGGAGAAACUGAAUUUUAUCAUAUAACCUUCAAAUCAUCUCUUUAAAUUUACUUUCUGCUUCUAAAUCUCACUGUUUUCCCAAGUGCUUCACAUGUCUCAUUUCAUAUUGUUAAUGAAACAACUCAAUCAACAAGCCAGGUUUGUACGUGAGCAGAUUUAGUCUGAGGUAAGAUUAAAAGCCAAACACUGCUCUACACAUUUUCAUUUUCAUUGAAAAAACAGAAUAUUUCAUCACCUUCUAAUAAUCUACUCAAAAUUUUCCUUUUAGCAUGAGCAUAUUUUCUCUACACAUAUUCCUCUCAGAAGACCUGCAAGAAAACAAUAUUAAUAAAGUAUAUUCACCUUUCUUUUUUUAUAAUAUAAUAGUAUUAUGACAUUAUGUGUAGCUAUAAUAAUAAUCUUUUGCAAUUAUGUAAUUGCCUUUUGUCUCAUUGUGUUUCUAUACAUUUCUCUAUUCAGAUUUAUUAAAUAUAUUAAGAUUGUAUAUGCAUAUAGGUAUACAUACAUACACAUACGUGAAAGCAUGCAUACUUGUUGAAAAUUUUAGUUAAGUGUUAAAUAAUUUUUUAUUAUUGUUACUUAUUUUAUUUUCUAUGAUCGAAAAAAGAUCUAGAUGGUAAAAUGGAUCCCAUUUGAAUAAAAAAAUGUUAAGGAAACUUCUAAUAGUAAAAUAGACACCAUGGGAAUCAAAGAAUGCUAAGAAAACUUCUCUUAUUUUCUUAGAGAUUUAUUUAUUUGAGAGGAAAAGAGAGAGAGAGAGUGGGGAGAAGAGUGGAGGGAGAAGGACAGAGAAUCCAAAGCAGAGUCCCUACUCAGCACGGAGACCGACUUGGGGACUUGGGUCUUAGUCCCAUGACCCUGAGAUCAUGACCUGAGCCAAACUCAAGUCAGGAGGAGCUCAACGGAUUGUGUCACCCAGGCACCCAAGGAAACUUCUAAUAUAGAAUUCUUUCAUCUUUAUCUAAUUAAAAAAAAAAAAAAAAGUGAAGGGGAACAUGGGUGUCAUAUUCUGCUAAAUGGCCUACUCUGGUUUUGCCUCAGGUCAAAGAGAUCCAGCCUGCAUGGGCUCUGCACUCAGUGCAAAGUUUUCUUGAGAGUCUCUCUUUCUCUUCCUCUGCCCCUCCCACUCAUGCUUUCUCUCUCUCUCUCAAAUAGAUAAAUAAAUAUUUUUUUAAAAGGUGUAGAAAGGAAAUAAUAUAACAUAAUCCAAACUAAUGAAUUGUUUUGUUAUCUAAAUUCAUUUAUUUAUGCAUACAUUUGUCCUUUCAAGUUUCAUUCAUUCAGGUAUUUAUUAAUUCAUUUAUGUAUUCAUUUACUCAGUGCAUAUUUGUUUGUCUCUAUGCACCAGUCACUUAUAACAUUCUCUGGUAAAAUUUUGUUAUUAAGCCAUUGUAGUCAGUCUCCUGAGGAAUCCAGAUAUGAAAAAAAAAAAAAAAACACCCAAAAAACAGAUAAUUUAAGCAGAUAUAGGCAAAGAUGAUUUUAAUACUUGAAUAGAAACUUUCAGUUUAGAUAAAAAAUUUCCAGGUUAAGGAAACAAAGAUAUUCUAUAUGGGGGAAAAAUAAUAGAAAAACAAAAAAAAACAAAACAAAUCAGAAAACUUUAGGCAUUGUAUACCUCCAGAAAUAUCCCUGUGGUCAUUAGAGAGAAAACUGGCAACACUUGAUUGGUGUAUAUUUCCAAUGUUUAGAGUUGCUUAAGGUUUUCUGAUAGCCUUACCCACCCCAAACUUCUUUCUAAUUCUGAACAUGCUAUAUCCCUUCAUAUUUUCAUGCAUUUAUACACUUAUUUUCUGUUGUUGUUGUUGUUGUUAUUGUUGUUAAACACCCAACUCUUGACUUUGGCUCAUGAUCUCAGGGUCCUGGGAUCAAGCCCUGCAUCAGGCUCCACACUCAAUGGGGAGUCUACUUAAGGAUUCUCUCUCCUGUGUCUGCCCCUUCCCCCACUUAUGUUUUCUCUAGUUCUCUUCCUCUUGCACUCAUGCUCUCUUGAUCAAAUAUAUAAGUAAAUCUUUAAAAAAAAAUUUUUAAAAACAUGAUCAGUUUUUCUUAAAAUAUUUUUGCCUUAUAUUUAGUUUCAAAAUCUCCCAGUUCUGAUACACAGAUAUUUUUUUCAGGUGGAAUUAUAGAUACAUUUUCUAUCAAAUUGAUCAAAUGAUUUUUCUUGAAAGUCAGACCAUGUCAACUUUUAAUUACAAUAACUGCUAUAAUCCUAAACCAACAUGGACCAAAGCAUUAAUCCAAGUUAUACAGCUAUUCAACGCCUGAAACCAAUGGUCUAUUUUUUGUAUAUUGAACACUGUAUAAGAUUCCUUCUGACCUAUUGAAAUUACUCAUGUAAAACAUUUAGCAGAAAUAAGAACUUGAUAUUUCUGUUUAAGUUCGUUUUCUCCUAAUUUGGACUGAAAAUAACUGGAUACUUUCAUAUAUAUUUAUUACAAUGUUUAAAAACAGUGGUGGAUAGGAGAUUUGAUAAGAGUCUACUUUUUAAAAUACUUUUCUCAAAACUUCACAAUUUUUGCAAUGUCAAAUGUAUAUCAAUCUGAGAGGGUAAAUGAUAUUAUAAACAUGAAUGAACUAUGAAAAUAUUUUUUACACUUUUUCACUAUUUUGCAUUUUAAUUUCACAAUUUCAUGUUUUAAUUUCAUUUCACAGUUUUACAUUUUUCACAAUUUACUAUGUCAAAUGUGUAUCAGUUUGAGAAGUUAAAGUGAUAUCACAAAUCUUGUGAAUCUCUCAAAGGGAAAGAAAACUUUCAUGUGAGUAUACAAGCUGCCCAUACAGAUAAAACAUUAUUUGAGGUAAUUAUCUUUCAAUCUUCAAGAAGAACAUAAAUAUAUGUGUAAGAUGUGCUUUUAAUAUUGUUAUUUGAAUGAAUUGUGGUUUAUAUAAAGUAAAUCUUUAGUUAUUAAAUUGAAAACCAUUGGAUUUUUCUAAAAGCUGAUCAUACUCAGAAUUAAGUAGUCAGCAUAACACAACUGAUCAUAUGUCAGAAGAUAAUGGUUUCCUUGUUGUUUGGUAAGUAUUGGUGAAAAAUUUAGCAUCCAUUUUCUCACAUGCAGGACAGAAAACACUAUUGAGAAAAACCAAUAAGACCAAUGUCUGUUUUCCAAUUUUCUUUUCAUUAUUGAAUCUUAGCACUUAACAUUUUUAAAAAGGCAGAAUUAACAUGUCUCCAUCAAAACUACUCACAACUCAAUUAUGAAAGUACUCAUUGAGCAAAAAGGUACUGAAGCUUAAACUUCUGAAUUUGAGUGGGUCUUUAAAUCUUAGAUAAAAGAGAAAUGUUCCUUUAUAUAUCCCCCCUCUUUUUUCUCUUACACACACACACACACACACACACACACACACACAUAUUAAAAAGCAUAGGCUAUAAUUUCUGAAAACUAAUAUACGGAGAGGAAUGAUUGUAAACCAAGAAAACUUUGGUUUUCAGCCUUUCUGAAAUCUAGGAUAACAAGAUAUCCUUAACAAGGUAUCUAUGUUAGCUUCCAAGACCGUGGAUGUUGGCCUCAAAAUUCCUUGUUGGCGCCAUCCAGUAGAGAGCAGCUGACACAGUGCACUGUCAUUAAUCUUAUAAUCAUAAUCCAGUUCACAAUAUUAUCAAGAUAGUGAGCUUUGCAGUUUCCAAGACAGAAGCCUGCCCAUGCACCUCUUCAAGUAAUCAGCAAUGAGCUAAUAUAACAUGGGACCACAAAACAAGUCACAACUUAAGUAAACUCUUAGAGUAUAUCUCUUUAUUUCAGUUUAUAUUAUCAU